UACGGGGGGGGCAAGCGUUGUUCGGAAUUACUGGGCGUAAAGGGCUCGUAGGCGGCCAACUAAGUCAGACGUGAAAUCCCUCGGCUUAACCGGGGAACUGCGUCUGAUACUGGAUGGCUAGAGGUUGGGAGAGGGAUGCGGAAUUCCAGGUGUAGCGGUGAAAUUCGUAGAUAUCAAGCGGAACACCGGUGGCGAAGGCGGCCUUCUGGACAGUGACUGACGCUGAGACGCGAAAGCGUGGGGAGCAAACAGG
rnacentral:rRNA from 1 species